rnacentral:misc_RNA from 1 species
AACGAUAUUUUCGUACUAGAGUACCCACACGAGUAAUCAAAUAUAUUAGAAGAAGUUAUUUAUAAGUUUUGGUAUGUAAUUUUCUAGUGUAUAAAUCUUUUAGAUAUAUACACCAGUGUCAUAUCUUUUUUUAAGAUAUGUACACGUAGAUCACUGCAUUUAAUAGAAGAAAAUUUUAUUAAGUUAUUCUCAAACAAUAACGAAAAAAACUUAGUCUGCAAUAAAAAGGUCGACUAAGUAUAUAACCCUUUUCA